GACGAACGCUGGCGGCGCGCCUAACACAUGCAAGUCGAGCGAGAACCAGGGCUUCGGCCCUGGGGACAGCGGCGAACGGGUGAGUAACACGUGGGUAACCUGCCCUCGGCACCGGGAUAGCCCGGGGAAACUCGGAUUAAUACCGGACAGCCUCAUGAGCCCUCGGGCGAAUGAGAAAAGGUGGCUUCGGCUUCCGGCUGAGGAUGGGCCCGCGGCCGAUUAGCUUGUUGGUGGGGUAACGGCUCACCAAGGCUCCGAUCGGUAGCUGGUCUGAGAGGACGAUCAGCCACACUGGGACUGAGACACGGCCCAGACUCCUACGGGAGGCAGCAGUGGGGAAUCUUGCGCAAUGGGCGAAAGCCUGACGCAGCGACGCCGCGUGCGGGAAGAAGGCCUCGGUGUAACG
rnacentral:rRNA from 1 species